CCUACGGGUGGCAGCAGUGAGGAAUAUUGGUCAAUGGGCGGAAGCCUGAACCAGCCAAGUAGCGUGCAGGAUGACGGCCCUACGGGUUGUAAACUGCUUUUAUACGGGAAUAACGCGCCUUACGUGUAGGGCUUUGUAUGUACUUUAUGAAUAAGGAUCGGCUAACUCCGUGCCAGCAGCCGCGGUAAUACGGAGGAUCCGAGCGUUAUCCGGAUUUAUUGGGUUUAAAGGGAGCGUAGAUGGGUUGUUAAGUCAGUUGUGAAAGUUUGCGGCUCAACCGUAAAAUUGCAAUUGAUACUGGCAGCCUUGAGUACAGUUGAGGUAGGCGGAAUUCGUGGUGUAGCGGUGAAAUGCUUAGAUAUCACGAAGAACUCCGAUUGCGAAGGCAGCUUACUAAACUGCCACUGACAUUGAUGCUCGAAAGUGUGGGUAUCAAACAGGAUUAGAUACCCGGGUAGUC
rnacentral:rRNA from 1 species